CUACAGACAGGUAGACACACCUUUAUCAUAGCUCCUCCCCCUCUACAGACAGGUAGACACACCUUUAUCAUAGCUCCUCCCCCUCUACAGACAGGUAGACACACCUUUAUCAUAGCUCCUCCCCCUCUACAGACAGGUAGACACACCUUUAUCAUAGCUCCUCCCCUUCUACAGACAGGUAGACACACCUUUAUCAUAGCUCCUCCCCCUCUACAGACAGGUAGACACACCUUUAUCAUAGCUCCUCCCCUUCUACAGACAGGUAGACACACCUUUAUCAUAGCUCCUCCCCUUCUACAGACAGGUAGACACACCUUUAUCAUAGCUCCUCCCCCUCUACAGACAGGUAGACACACCUUUAUCAUAGCUCCUCCCUCUCAACAGACAGGGAGACACACCUUUAUCAUAGCUUCUCCCCCAUACAGUCCUUCGGAGGAGCCCACGAUGUCCUGAUAAACUGUUGAAACAUGGACACGUGAACACUUCUGGAUUGUCCCCCCAACAUGUUAUUUUUUUGUUUAUCUGUUUGUUUAUUUAUCCGUUUGU